rfam:Ictidomys tridecemlineatus contig046762, whole genome shotgun sequence.
GGGGUUGUGGCUCAGUGGUGGAGCACUUGCCUAACAGGUGUGAGGCACUGGGUUCAAUCCCCAGCAACACAU